UACGUAGGGUGCGAGCGUUAAUCGGAAUUACUGGGCGUAAAGGGCGCGUAGGCGGCCUGCUAAGUCGAACGUGAAAUCCCCGGGCUCAACCCGGGAACUGCGUCCGAUACUGGCAGGCUUGAAUUCGGGAGAGGGAUGUGGAAUUCCAGGUGUAGCGGUGAAAUGCGUAGAUAUCUGGAGGAACACCGGUGGCGAAGGCGGCAUCCUGGACCGAGAUUGACGCUGAUGCGCGAAAAGCCAGGGGGAGCAAAACGGGG
rnacentral:rRNA from 1 species